rnacentral:rRNA from 1 species
AUUGAACGCUGGCGGCAGGCCUAACACAUGCAAGUCGAGCGGAUGAGGAAAGCUUGCUUUUCGAUUCAGCGGCGGACGGGUGAGUAAUGCCUAGGAAUCUGCCUGUUAGUGGGGGAUAACUCGGGGAAACUCGGGCUAAUACCGCAUACGUCCUACGGGAGAAAGUGGGGGAUCUUCGGACCUCACGCUAACAGAUGAGCCUAGGUCGGAUUAGCUAGUAGGUGAGGUAAUGGCUCACCUAGGCGACGAUCCGUAACUGGUCUGAGAGGAUGAUCAGUCACACGGGAACUGAGACACGGUCCAGACUCCUACGGGAGGCAGCAGUGGGGAAUAUUGGACAAUGGGCGAAAGCCUGAUCCGGCCAUGCCGCGUGUGUGAAGAAGGUCUUCGGAUUGUAAAGCACUUUAAGUUGGGAGGAAGGGUAUUCACCUAAUACGUGGGUACUUUGACGUUACCAACAGAAUAAGCACCGGCUAACUCUGUGCCAGCCGCCGCAGUAACAC